UGGCGGACGGGUGAGUAACGCGUGGGUAACCUGCCUUGUACGGGGGGACAACAGUUAGAAAUGACUGCUAAUACCGCAUAAGCGCACAGUAUCGCAUGAUACAGUGUGAAAAACUCCGGUGGUACAAGAUGGACCCGCGUCUGAUUAGCUAGUUGGUAAGGUAACGGCUUACCAAGGCGACGAUCAGUAGCCGACCUGAGAGGGUGACCGGCCACAUUGGGACUGAGACACGGCCCAA
rnacentral:rRNA from 1 species